AUUGAACGCUGGCGGCGUGCCUAACACAUGCAAGUCGAGCGGAUGAAGGGAACUUGCUCCUGGCUUAAGCGACGGACGGGUGAGUGAUUCCUAGGAAUCUGCCUGGUCGUGAGGGCUAACGUCCGGACACGGGCGCUAAUACCGCAUCCGUCCAGAGGGUGAAAGUCAGGGAUCUUCAGACCUCGCGCUAUCAGAUGAGCCUAGGUCGGAUUAGCUAGUUGGUGGGGUAAAGGCCUACCAAGGCGACGAUCCGUAGCUGGUCUGAGAGGAUGAUCAGUCACACUGGAACUGAGACACGGUCCAGACUCCUACGGGAGGCAGCAGUGGGGAAUAUUGGACAAUGGGCGAAAGCCUGACCCAGCCAUGCCGCGUGUGUGAAGAAGGUCUUCGGAUUGUAAAGCACUUUAAGUUGGGAGGAAGGGCAGUAAGUUAAUACCUUGCUGUUUUGACGUUACCAACAGAAUAAGCACCGGCUAACUUCGUG
rnacentral:rRNA from 1 species